UAGAGUUUGAUCCUGGCUCAGAACGAACGCUGGCGGCAGGCUUAACACAUGCAAGUCGAACGCCCCGCAAGGGGAGUGGCAGACGGGUGAGUAACGCGUGGGAAUCUACCUAGUUCUACGGAACAACUGAGGGAAACUUCAGCUAAUACCGUAUACGCCCUAUGGGGGAAAGAUUUAUCGGAAUUAGAUGAGCCCGCGUAAGAUUAGCUAGUUGGUGGGGUAAUGGCCUACCAAGGCGACGAUCUUUAGCUGGUCUGAGAGGAUGAUCAGCCACACUGGGACUGAGACACGGCCCAGACUCCUACGGGAGGCAGCAGUGGGGAAUAUUGGACAAUGGGCGCAAGCCUGAUCCAGCCAUGCCGCGUGAGUGAUGAAGGCCUUAGGGUUGUAAAGCUCUUUCAGUAGGGAAGAUAAUGACGGUACCUACAGAAGAAGCCCCGGCUAACUUCGUGCCAGCAGCCGCGGUAAUACGAAGGGGGCUAGCGUUGUUCGGAUUUACUGGGCGUAAAGCGCACGUAGGCGGAUUGUUAAGUCAGGGGUGAAAUCCUGGAGCUCAACUCCAGAACUGCCUUUGAUACUGGCAAUCUAGAGUCCGGAAGAGGUGAGUGGAACUCCUAGUGUAGAGGUGGAAUUCGUAGAUAUUAGGAAGAACACCAGUGGCGAAGGCGGCUCACUGGUCCGGUACUGACGCUGAGGUGCGAAAGC
rnacentral:rRNA from 1 species